GCAGUCGAACGAUGAAGCCCAGCUUGCUGGGCGGAUUAGUGGCGAACGGGUGAGUAAUACGUGAGUAACCUGCCUUUAACUCUGGGAUAAGCCUUGGAAACGGGGUCUAAUACCGGAUACGACCAACCCUCGCAUGGGGUGUUGGUGGAAAGGGAUUUUGUACUGGUUUUAGAUGGGCUCACGGCCUAUCAGCUUGUUGGUGAGGUAACGGCUCACCAAGGCGACGACGGGUAGCCGGCCUGAGAGGGUGACCGGCCACACUGGGACUGAGACACGGCCCAGACUCCUACGGGAGGCAGCAGUGGGGAAUAUUGCACAAUGGGCGCAAGCCUGAUGCAGCGACGCCGCGUGAGGGAUGACGGCCUUCGGGUUGUAAACCUCUUUCAGCAGGGGAGAAGCGAAAGUGACGGUACCUGCAGAAGAAGCGCCGGCUAACUACGUGCCAGCAGCCGCGGUAAUACGUAGGGCGCGAGCGUUGUCCGGAAUUAUUGGGCGUAAAGAGCUUGUAGGCGGUUUGUCGCGUCUGCUGUGAAAGCCCGGGGCUUAACCCCGGGUUUGCAGUGGGUACGGGCAGACUAGAGUGCAGUAGGGGAGACUGGAAUUCCUGGUGUAGCGGUGAAAUGCGCAGAUAUCAGGAGGAACACCAAUGGCGAAGGCAGGUCUCUGGGCUGUAACUGACGCUGAGAAGCGAAAGCAUGGGGAGCGAACAGGAUUAGAUACCCUGGUAGUCCAUGCCGUAAACGUUGGGCACUAGGUGUGGGGAACAUUCCACGUUUUCCGCGCCGUAGCUAACGCAUUAAGUGCCCCGCCUGGGGAGUACGGCCGCAAGGCUAAAACUCAAAGAAAUUGACGGGGGCCC
rnacentral:rRNA from 1 species